rnacentral:rRNA from 1 species
GCUAGUAAUCGCGGAUCAGCAUGCCGCGGUGAAUACGUUCUCGGGCCUUGUACACACCGCCCGUCACACCAUGGGAGUCGGUAACACCCGAAGUCUGUAGCCUGACGCAAGAGGGCGCAGCCGAAGGUGGGAUUGAUGACUGGGGUGAAGUCGUAACAAGGUAUC